CACCCAGCCAGCCCCUAGCGCAGACGGCGGAGAGCUGGGAUGGAGCGCGCCUUGGCCCGCUGGCCUGGGCCGCGGCUCCUCCGGAGAGCCCGGGCGCCCACGCGAGAACCUCCCUACCCGGGUCUGUCUUCAAGGAUGACGCCUUCCGUCUGCCUUCCUGCCACCAAGGACCACCUGUGGAUGACGAGCUGAUGCCCACGUGCUUGCUGCUCACCUCCGUCGUAUGGUACCUCAACCCAUCCUGGUGGCAACUGAGACCCAACACGAGGACGCCAGGAGCAGGGGUUCCUGGAUCCCACCAGCAAACAAGGCCACCACUGGGCAGUGACCGCCCCCACCCAGGCCGCCGAAGGAUGAAGAGGACUCGGACUGACCAGCCCGCUGUCCCUCUUGGCUAAGUGUUGAAACCAGCGCCCUAGUGAGGGGGCGCUGGUUAACCUCAGACUUUCAAUGUGCUUCUGCCUCAAUGCUUUGCUUUUCUAUGUGCGUCUGCUUCUGUUAACCUUACAUCAACCUGGAGGUUUCACCAUUCCCAGGGAGGUGUCAGUCUUUCUCAGUCCACCCCGUCAUUACUCCCAGGAUGGUCUGAAAGGAAGGGUCCCUUUGGGAACUUCUCAGGAGGGAGACCUGGGCCAAGGGCUCGACCAGCAUCUCCCUGGCAAUUCCAAGGCCCAGGGUGGGCUUCUGGAAGGAGCAUGAUUCCAGAGGCCAUGCUACUGAACUGCCAGGGGCAUCCCCACCUCCUCCAGAUCUCCUCAUCCUUUCUGGGGAACGGGAUUGAGAAAAGCAGCCUCCCAGGGUGUUGUGAGUGUUGGUCCGAUUCUGGGAAGCCGGUAAGGCCGGGCAUAGACGAGGCGGUCAGUAAAUGUUUUUCCCAAACAGGUUGGUCGACCACGUCCCCCUCGCCCCUCUCACCAGUCUCACGCUUCUCGUUUAUUCUCCCACAGCGCUCCGGACAACCCCAGUCCGCAGGGCUCUCGGUGUACCAGCCCCGCCUCCUGUACAGCCUAUCUACAUCCGCUGUCUUCCUUCCUCACCUUCCGUUUCCCCUCCAACCCACCGCUUCGUGGUCUCCUCAGGUCCGUUGAACUCCACCAGCUCUAAGGUAAUGACUUUUCUGGAGCUUAAAAUUCCGGACACGUUUUCGGCUCCCGGACUCACGGACGUGUAUUUAGUGUUUCUCUCACGGCCUUCCCAGCUCCUGGUCUCUGGUGUUGACAGACAGCCCUCUCCGCUCCACCCCCUGACCUGUAUGUAGAUGGUACAGAGUCACCUGCCUCUGGCCCUCCUUCUUAACCUCUCCUAGAAGAGUAUCUAGCCCUUCCAGAACCUUCCAGAACCUGCCUCUUGGCAUCUUCUCUGGGUUGGAGUCCUAACCACCUAGAGCCGAGGCCUCGAGGUAGCUCAGUGUUUCCAAGCCUUUCCACCUUUCUCUCAGUUGCAGACUAGUUAUCUUUACCUGGCAGGUCAGGUGGGCUAUUGUACAGGUAAAACCUCACAUCCCCACUAUUCGAGGAACUUGAAGUAAAUUCAGUCAAGUGUUCAUGAGAAAAUAUAGCAAAGGUCGCCAUCCGAUUUUCUUGUAGGUUAAGUUCCCACAGGAAGGAGCGCAAGGGAGAAGAAAGAAGUGGGGGGAAGGGGGGCGAGAAAGAAGCAAAGACUAGAAAAGGGCCCCUAAGGGAAUAAAAAAAAGAAGCAAGGGGAGACUUAGAAAAUACGAAAACCCACCCCCCAAAAACACAUCCAGAGAAAGGUUCCUUCUGGGGUUAGGCAAAAAGAAAGUAAACAGGAAAAAGGUUUCAAUUGAUUAUCCCAGUGACAAGUCCCAGGAAGCUUUCAAAUCAAAUUGCCCCAUUUUAGGUUUUUUAACUCCUUCUAUCGGGUUUAACCUCUUUACCUCCCGCAUCCUGGUUAAACCCUUCUCCUGGCCCCCUCGCUGGUGAUUAAAUCCCGAAGGUACAUGGAGCCUUUCAGUGAAUGAAUGGCCAGCAGAAAGAGCCCUCCCCCUCCCCCCAGCUGUGUUUUUCAGUUUUAUUCCACUUUCUGCCCUUUUCCCUUAAUGAACACAGGGCUAAUCUUGGGCCUUGUCAAGGAAGAGGCUGUAGACCUUAAUGAGGUAGCUGCUGGAUUCCAAUAUUCAUCUCAUAAGGAGCCUUCUUUGUCUGAGAAGGAAAGACACACUGAUUAUCAUAAUGAGGUGAACGGCGGCUGCAGGGCAGGGGCGAAGAGGGUCUGAAGCCACACUUCUAAUUUUGGUGCUGGAGCCCAGGGACUUAUUCUGCUCCCCAUUCAAGUCUUUGCUUCUGUCCCAGCUCACGGUGCAUGGAGUGAGGUAGAAAGUUGCAGGCAGCUUUGGGCCCCAGAUGAGGGCUGCUCUGCAGAAGAGUUCCUUUGUUCGACCCUGUGUGCAGACCAGCCAUGGGCCAGGGUGACUCAGGCCUCUGGGAUCAGUUUUCCAGGAGCAGAGAGACAGAUGCCGGUCAGGCUCAAUCCGGACUCAUUCUUAGGGUUCCCGGGUGUUAAACCUAUAAGACUUCCAAAGGCUAGAAAAGUAAGGCCUAGGUGUAGACCCCGUGCAACUGUAGCCAAGCCAGCGUCUGGAACGCCCCUCUCAGGUCAGGAAGUGGAUGGGUAUUGGUACCCCAGCACAGCCCCAUCCUCGUAGAAGGGCAGAGCUGGGGGCUCACACUCAGCCCCUCAUAUGAUGAGAGACCCCAGCGAUCUGUCGGGACCACUCAGAUCCAGUUCCAGAACCCGGUGUCACCCACUUCACCCCCUAACGGUUCCCAUGUCCUGCGCCCUGCCCCGCCUGUCAGUCCUCUCUGCCCUCAUUCUUAAAAUCCCUGGAGCCCUUUCAUGUCUUUAGGGAAGGUGUGCCUGAGUCAGAAACUUACCUCACCUGAAGGCAGAUCAAUCACAAUUAGAUCACUCCAGUUAAACCUCAGACUCCAGCCAGACCUUCCCCCAGAUGGGGGGGUGGGGGGAUGGGGCGGAAAAAGGAGGGGGGUGUGGAGAAGUGCAGUGUUUGGAGCAAGAAAACUUGAUUAGUUGAAAACUUCUAAUCCUCCCUUCCUCAACUUACCUCUUGGCUAAAGGUCCCCUGGUGUUGGUGGAUGAGAUUUAGACACUUCCUGAGUCAGCAGAACCACCUCCCAUCCAGCUCACUAGAUGACUGUGGACGGCUGCCCAGAUGGCCAGCUGGGCCCACUCCAUCGCUUUUGGUGGUGGUGACCCCAGAUGUUGCCUGGACUUGGGGACUGGAUGGGGUGGGCACUUCUGAGAAUAGGGGGUCCCACCAAAACCUGCCCUCUUCUGUGCAGUUUGUGGAGAGUAAACUUACAGGGAAGCUCCUGAUGUUUCUAGAAGGAUUCAUUUUAAGUAGGAAAAGGAAAAUCCAUAGAACCCUUCAUACUCUCAAAUACAUACCAAUAAUUAAAACAUCUGCCCCAGAGUCGUUAAUAUUUUAGCAUUUGAGAACCCAGGGAGGAGGUGGAAGGCAACUGAGCUCCUCUUCUGAGGCCACUGGCAGGGAGGUGUCUGUGUUCGUGACUCCUGAGUGGACGGUGACUGCUUUAACCUGUGUCCUUGUUUCUGCGGCACCCCCUUCUGCAGCUGAACCGACACAGCUCCCAGCUCCCUGUGCGCGCGGGACACCUGCCCCCCACUCCUCCAGCCUGGGGGUCCUGCCGGUCUUCCUGUGUGGGCACCGGGCCCCAGCGGGCUCAGCCGUCAUUCAGUCAAUCCUGGAGGCUCCCCCCAGUUCUUCUGAUUAUUCCAGUUUUUUCUGCUUUCACUGCCCCCUUCUGUGAUCCAUCCGUCUUCUCUCCCUGACUCCCAUUUCCUCAUCUGGUCCUCAGGGGGGCGUCCUAGGCCAGCCCACUCCUCCUUUGGGUGUCCCAGAACCAGCCUGGCACAAAGUGGGGCUCAGUAAGAGUAUGUGGGAUGUAUGUUUGGACAGGUGAGUCAAUGAAGGAACUCGACUGUCAAACUGCUAGGUGGGAGUCACUGGGAGUGCAGGAAGCGUCAGGUCUAAAGGGUGGAGGGUGGACGUUCUUUAACAGGGCGGUGGGUAUUGCCCCACCCCCAGCCCCCUUUGAGCGGGGCCCCACCAGUCUCACCCCUUCCUGGACUCACGCAUCCAUCCCGUCAUCCAACAGUUGAUCCUUACUGAGCAAGCCCAUGGCUUGGCCCCGGGCUGGGCACCUGCCACCCUAGCGCGUCCCUUGAUGGCCUCUGCCUCCCCAGGGUAGGGGGCCGGGGGGUUGCUUCUGCCCAGGGUGCCCUGUCGGCUCCCAGGCGCUGGAGCAGCAUGCUUAUGCUCUGUAGAGAAGGCAGGCCGGGGCGGGGGGGUGGGAGGGGCAGGCCUGCUUUGCCUUGCUGUGGUCGGGUGGCCCCCUUUGAAUCCGAAGCCUGGGGAGGGGGCCCCGAACCUACCCUUCUCCAGGGCUCAGCUGCAGGUCCCAGCUGGCCAGCCCCUCCUGCUUGCCCGGCCUCCCUGCCCGUCCAGUGGCUAAGUGCGCAUGGUUGUCCUGGGCCCCCAGCCCUGAAGUUCAGGACUGAAGAGGGGACCAGGGCAGCCGUGGCGUGUGUCCCCUUGGGCUCUGGCUCCACCGGGUCUCCCUCUUGAGCUGGGGGUCCGCAGGCUGGACCCCUCCCUCCAGGAUGCCCUCCUCCUCCUGGGACUACAUCCAGCUCCCCGCCCCCACUUUGCGGGCGGGCACCUGUCCACCGCCAAGGGCCCUGGCUGGGAACCUCCAGGGGACCUUCAGGCCUCACCUUUCCCAGCUGCCCACCUGGGUCCUCCUCUAUCUGGCAGCUCCUCCUCUAUCUGGCUGCUCCUCCUCUGGCUUCACCCCACCCCCCGGCUCUGCUUGCCAGAUCCGACCUGUGUGCCCUUCCCUGUGCCCCUUUCUCUGGGUUCAGGACCCUCUGCGUCUCGGCCGUCCACUCUCUGCUUAACAUGAUGGUUUCCUCACUGAGCCCACACCUGUGGUUGCCUGCGUGCUGCCCAGCCCACCUCUCACCUGUGUGCCUUUUCCCUGUCUCCCCCAGUGCAAGAAGGCCUUCCCCCUCAGGGUGACUCAAGUUUCCAGUGGGUCUCCAGUGGCCAGGGCGCAAGCCCCCCAAAACCCGGCAGGCCACCUCCCCCUAGCAUCCUCAGGAGCCCCGGCGGCCCCGGAUCGUGAACGCCUGGACGGAGGAGGUGGAGGAGCUACCCUGGAGCAGCACGUCUUCCGGAGGGUCACCCGGCGUCUCGCGCCCGCCCCGAGCCGCGAUGCUGCUGCCUGGAUUGGGCCAAAGCCAUCAUCUGGAAUCCUCUGUGGUCCAGGACCUCGAACCCGCCACCCCAGCACCCUCUAGCUCCAUAAUCGGCAAACUAGGAUGGAAGUGGCCUAGCUGGGGGGCCCUUCGACGGGCCAAGGAGAAAACGCAGGCGGUGGCACCAGCCUCUGAAGCCGUCUCCGAGCUCCAAUAAUCUUCGCUUGCCUCCCCCCUUGAAAUGUCCAAAUGGACAGACUUUCUGUCUUCAAAGCUUCCGGCCAAACCUCUUCAAGCUUUUCAUUGUUUGGGACUGGGACGCUUAGCAAUAGUGAUGGGUAGUUCCUUUUUAAUUUGCCUCGAAAGGCGAAAAUAUAUUUUUGUGUGUGUGACUAUAGACAAAGCCGUCUGCUUUCAGAUGAAUUCUGUGUCCGUCGUCUCCCACCAGGGAGGUUGUGUAUACCAUGUGUGCCUCUGUGUACUCUUGGGUCUUGAAACAGGUUUCUCACAGGGAUGACCAUUCAGAGGGGUCCUUGGGGAAGCGCCUGCCCCACCAACGGGCCUGGGGAGUCUGACCCCUGUCUGUGUUGGGUGUGGGCCCCGGGGGGGGGGGAGGGCGUCUGCUGCACUCACAUGUGUUCUGCCUGUGCCUGCAUCUGCCAUGCUUACGUGUCAAGGACUGUGGGUUUUGUGCACCUUGGUGCUCAACUGGGUGAGAGGGGGUGGGAGGUCAGAGAUACUGUGAAUGCCCUUCUGUUCUGGCUGGGAAGUCGUUUUGCUGGGCUCUGUUACCUGAUCCAAAGAAGCGAGUGGAUGGGUAAAUGAAUGCAGGUGUGAAAGAACGAAUAAACAAAUAAAUAAUGUAAAGAAGUAUACCCUGAGGGAGAUCCAGUUGGAUACAUAGGAGAUCAAUAGAUUAGUCGAUGAAGCAGGGAAUCAGUAUGUAAAUAGGGCCAUGCAGAAACCAGUAUCCGGUUAUCCUGGACUAAGGCACACGAGCAAUUAAAAUACAUAGCACCUAUCGUUUGUCCAUAAGGGAAGAAAAACCUACAUGACAGAAAGGACGAAUAAGGAGUCUGGAUGUGUAAGCCAGCGGUGAGGCUGGGAUGGUGGGGCCCGUCAAAGUGGAAAGAUGGCAGAGAGGGUACCAGGGAUUGAAAGUGGCAAGGAAAAUGGAAAGAUGCAAAUUAAUAUGUAAAAAAUAAGGUAGCUUUUAAAAUUAGGGGGUGAGAAAAAUACUCCCCAUAAGGAGGACUAUGUCAGGUUAUUAUAAGCCAAGCAUUAGGAUUAAUCCAAAUACGUGCUCUUGGCAGCAGAAAAAAAAGAGAAAACAUCAAAGGAAGAGCUCAAAGAGCAGUUAAAAGUGAAGAAAGACCCAGGGGACCAGAGAUGAGAUUUACCUUUAACCCAGAGUUUUCUAAUUCUGGGCACACAUACAUAAAGACUGAAAUGAAAGAAAGUCCAAAAAAAGAGAAAAAAAUGAAGGGACGAAUGGGUGAGGAGUGGACAUACCUGAAUCCUGAAGGGAGCAUGGCAGAAAGGGUUUUGAGUCAUCCAGUCCUGUGAGCUGAGGUCUGUUCCAUGAAGGGAUUAAAAAAGAGAAUAACAUAGCUAAAUAAAAAUCUAGAAAUGUGGAAGAAAAAGUAACAGGUGUGAAGUCCAGAAAAAUAUUGGUGGGUGAGCAGAUCAAUACACAGAGGAAGGCAGUGCUAGGAGUUGAGUAAUAGGCGGUCGUGAAUCGAGGGCCGUGGUUAGUCCGACCCUGAAAGCCACAGGACUAUCAGAAUAUAAUAAAUAUCUCAGUGAACAGGUGAGCGAGCAUCUAAAGAGACAGAGACGGCGUGGAGUGAGGAGGAGGAGAGGCUGUGGUCACACCACAGCUCCAGGAAAAUGAGAGAAGACAAGUGAGAAAAAGUGAGAAAGGAGGAAACGUGGAAAGUUGCAACGGAAGAGAGUAGAAGAAGGUGAGAAAUGAGUAGAUCCUUGGAAGCAGGCGAGGCUGAGAAUCCAAACUGUGGAUCAAUAUGGGUCAAAAUCUGAACAGGCGCUCGAUGAGUAGAGGAGUUAAUACCUAAUAAUAAAAAGAAAAAGAAGCAGGAAGGAAGACUGGCAUGAGUGAAUGAAUGAAGGGCAGCCAGAAGGAACCAUGACUGAGAGGCGGGGCUGAAGGGCCCGGGGGUGCUGUUUGCAGGUGGCGUUAGGCUCCAUCAGGUCGUGGCACCUGAGCUCCAAAGAAUGCAAGAGAGAGAGAGAGAGUAAAGGCGAGAAACGGUGAAACUGCAAAUGGGAAAGAAACGGCAAGUCAGAAGCCAGAUUAGAGAUGCGAGAAGCAAAAGGAAUACACUAAUAGACAGAUAAAUGCAUCUAUAAGAGAGGGUUGUUCUAGGAAUAAGAAUGGGAGGGGACGUGAACCAUGCGCACGGAUGGAUCCACAUCUGGGCUUCUGAGAUGGGUCACCACCCACCCAACCAGGAGGCAGGUCCAAGCUGAAAUACGUGAGGGAGGACCUCAGAGAGGCCAGGGCGGGGAGGAUCCAUUGCUUGUAGAUUAUCAUGUAUCCAGUCAGGUACCCUGCCAUCUAGAAGUGUAAAAACAAUUACCAAAGAGAAAGAAAGCCUGAAUGGGUACAUGAAUGCACGAGAGAAAAAAUUUGCAGUGAUCCAUGAAGCUGAUGUUGUGAGGGGUGUUAGGGUGCAGCCGUUUCCUGGUGCCCAAUCUCCAAGAGAAAGAAAGGCAGUAAGAAAAAAGCCUGAGAGACUGGUAGAAAAGAACAAUUAAUUAAGAUGGGAGGGAAAAAAAUAAAAAGUUUUUAUAAAGAAGUAAAAAAAGAUAGUAAGUAUGUCAGUGAAGUCUGUGAGAGGGGACUGGUUUAGCACAGAUCAUCCACAUUCAUUCAAAUCUCCGGCCCCAAAGUUGAUAAAUAGUAAAAAGAGCAAUAGCAUAAAUAAAAGCCUGCAGGGAUACACACAUGCGUUCCACGAGACGGUGUGGAAUGAGUUUGAAAAAUUGAGGGGGAGACGGGGAGAAAGAAAGGUAUGGGAGAAGAAAUGGAAAUAGAUGGAUGGAAGAGAAAAAGGCACUUCCUGGAUAAGUGCUUAAGAAACAUAUUAUUCAUUUAAUAUAAAAACUAGUAAAAGCUGAAGUUCAUCAGAAAGAAAGAAUAAAUAAGGGGAUGGCUGUGUGAAUGAAUGAAUGAGGAAGGGGACUUUGAUGAAUUAGCCUCUGCACCUGAGGCUCUUGAGAAUAAAAGAAUACCAAAAGAGCCAGUGAGGAUGGAGGAGGGGCAUAGGCAAUUAUGACAAGAAGGAUAUUAGCAAUAAAAGCAUAUUGAAUGAAUAAAUAAAUAUGUACAUAAAUUACGAGAGACAGGGCCAUGCUAGAGCAAAAAAAAUGAGAAGGCACCAUGCAGCAGGAAUUGUGAGUGAUUCAGAACUGGGCUCCUGAGAGAAUUAAAUAAGUCCUCCCGCAAAUCACCAGUACGAGGAGUUAACGAACCAAAGGGGCCCUACAUGGACCGGUGCCGAGAAGCCUCCAGGAACUACAAAUGAUAGUUAAUCCAAUUCUGUGCACCUGAGGUCCAUAAAUAAAAGAAUAAAUAUUGAAAUAGAAGAGUGAGAAAAUGAAUGAAUGGACCCACGAAUGACUGAAUCAGUAAUGGGAAUGCCUGAGACGGCCCAUGGGAUUGUCACGCAUCUCACCCAAGACACCUGAGGUUCCUAAGAGUAAAAGAGAAGCCGAGAAAGAAACGAGGCAAAAGGGAAACCUAAGUGAAAGAGAAAGGUGGGGGGCCCAGCAGAAAGGCAGUGAAGACGUGGGUGUGUCGGAGAGAAGGGUCUGUUAGGAUUAGGGGUGAGGUGUUCAUCAACCCUAAUAAUGGAUAAGGUCACCCAGUCCCCUCUUCUAAGGCAAAGGAGGAUGGAGAGAUUAAAAAAGAAGAAGCGAAAAAAAAAAAAAGAGAGAGAGAGAGAGAAA